GGGUGGGGGUGGAGCUUACCGAAGUGACGGACACGUCGGCCGUGGGGCUGUCCGGUUUGGGGCAGGUGUUGAAGUGCUUCCUGAUCUUUCCGGCGACAGACAGCUGGUGCUCGUUCUCCGGCAGGCCCCCGUCCUGAAGGGAGGAGCGGACAGGAGACGCCAGGCACCCGAUUAGCAUACAAGGUGGCCAGGUGGAGGUGGAAGUACAGGUGAAGGUGUAAGUGCGUUCUGCAUGCUGGUGGUACAGGUGAACUCUCCCCUUAUUGUUGAGUGCUUUCAUGCUUAUCAGAUGAAAAAAGCUACAUAAAUUAUUACUGUUAUUAUUAUUGGUAUUGUUAUCAGCCAAUCCUUUACACUGUAGGUCUGUAUUGUAAGGGGGUCCUGUAUUCCAUGCAGUAUGGUAGGUGUCCUGGUAGAUGGCGGCCAUGUUGAGAGCUGUGUGCAGUUCAGUCAGUGUAAGAGGAUAAGAUGGCAGCCAUGUUGACAGCUGUGUGCAGUUCAGUCGGUAAGAGGGUAGGAUGGCGGCCAUGUUGAGAGCCGUGUGUAGUUCAGUCAGUGUAAGAGGAUAGGAUGGCAGCCAUGUUGAGAGCCGUGUGUAGUUCAGUCGGUGUAAGAGGAUAGGAACACUCACAUUGACCCAGGGGUGCUGCAGGACCUGAAGGGCCGUGUAUCUCUGAUCAACCUCCACCUGCAGCAUCGACUGAAUCAGCUCCUGUGGAGGACGAGAGUGUACGCAAGUAUUUAUCUAUAUAUCUGUCUGUCUAUCAGUUGAUUGAUUAUAGAGCACUAUGUUCAAUUUAGUAAUAGCAUUCCAAAGGGACACCAGUCAUUAGUUGUUCAUUUCCACUGUACAUCAGGUCUGAUGUAUUAAAUAAACUUGCAUGUUCAUGUACUUGAAAGUGUGUAGAGACAUACAAGUUGGUCAUCCGAAGAAAGACUACCAAUAUUCCAACUGUAGUCCCAUUGCUGUUUAGAUCCAGAAAGCUUUUUCCCAGUGAGAAAAGGCCAGAAUCUACACGUCUAGAGAGGUGGAAAUUCAGUUUUGUAUGUUUUGACGUAAACGGUCUAGGUUAACCCCAGUAUAGCUCCGGUUUUACUCAGACACAGCCUGGCUAUCUCGGCUAGAAAACUUUUCAAUCAAAUGUAGUCGGGGUUUCCACCAGAGUGCCUAGAUGGUGUUUCACCAGCAGAAUGUUCCCUGGGUUCUAUUGCUAUGCCUGUAAUGCACAACCGGCGCGGGACGGGACACAAAAUGGACGCCGAGGACAGCGAGCUGGGACGCCUACCCCCGGAACGGAGGGAAGCCGCAGAGGAGGAUGUAGGUGAUGACGCCGGCCGCCCAGAUGUCCACCUUAAGGCCGUACCUGCAGAGAGGAACAGACCCGCGCUCAGACGUGGGGCUACAUGACACUGAAUGGGGGGUACAGACACUGAAGGGGCAGUACUGACACGGGCCAGUGGGGUCAGUGAACACUGCAGGUUCAUUCACCCUGCUUAUUAUCACUUCUUGUAUCAGAAGAGGUGCUCUGGCAAUACUGACACGGGCCAGUGGGGUCAGUGAACGUUGCAGGUUCAUUCACACUUUAUUUUCACUCCUUGUAUCUGUUCACGUCCUCGCACUUUCCUUGGCUCCCACCCAACAGAGGAUGUUCAAGGAUGAGAUGGGUGUUCAAGGUUAAGAUUUAUUUAAUUGACCAACACUCACCCGCUCUCUGCAAUAAUCUCUGGUGCUACAUAGGUGGGUGUCCCACACACAGUAUAAAGGGGUCCGUCCACGACAGUGGCUAAGCCGAAAUCGCCAAGCUUGAGGGACUUGCUACCAUCUUGGUGUUCGUAAACCUGAAAUACAAAAAAUGUGUAUAUAUUAUGUUGCUGCUCAACGAUAAUGACACCUUGACUUCAACAUCAAACCCUGUGGCUGGCAGCAUAUACUGCUGUAAAAAAAAAAAAAAAAAAAAACAUUGGAUGUAGAGGGCGAGCCAUCAUACUUGCUACCAAUCUUAUCGUUUAGAGAUCCUAUUUCAUAAUUUUCAUUUUGUGUAUUUUUUCCCCCUCCAUUUAUUAAUUUGUCAGAAAAAAGAGACUAUUAUGUUGAAUUUCACUGUUCAUCCAAUGAUAUUUUAAUGAGAAAUUAUUUAAAUGCAGGUAUUUUCACAUCCACCUGAAUAAAAAAACUUACAUUUUAAAAAUUGUUCCUGUUUUAAAUAUGAGAUGGUAGUCUUUUGUACUUUGCUGUUUCUCCAUUGAAAAAGUAUUAUUUUGCGAAAUGUUAAAAAGGAUUUUCCUUGAUUUCACACUGUUGAGUUUAAUUGUUGAAUAAGUCGGAUUUCGUAUGUAUGUGAUGUAUAAAUAUUGUUUGUCCUUUU